UCUAUUUAUAAGUGAAUAAAUACCAUGCAUGUCCUUUUGAGCCUUGGUGGCCUCACUCAGGAUGAUAUUUUCUAGUUCCAUCCAUUUGCCUGAAAAAUUCAUGAUGUCUUUGUUUUUAAUAGCUGAAUAGAAUUCCAUUGUAGAUGUACCACAUUUUCUUUAUCCGUUCUUCAGUUGAGGGUCAUUUUGGUUGUUUCCAGUUUCUGGCUAUUAUGAAUAAAAAUGCUAUGAAUAUAGUUGAGCAAAUGUCUUCACCAACCCUACAUCUGACAAAGGACUAAUAUCCAAAAUUUAUAAAGAACACAAGAAGUUAGAUACCAAUAACCCAAAUAACCCAAUUAAGAAAUGGGGUACAGAGCUGAACAGACUUCUCAACAUAGGGAUCUCAAAUAGCAGAGAAAUACUUAAAUACAUGUUUAAAGUCCCUAGUCUUCAGGGAAAUGCAAACUAAAACAAUUCUGAGAUUCCACCCUAACACUGGUCAGAAUGGCUAAGAUAAAAAACACAAGUGAUAGCACAUGCUGGUGAGGAUGUGGAACAUGGACACUCCUGCAUGGCUGCUGGGAGUACAAACUUGUACAGACACUUUAGAAAUCAAUUUGGCAGUUUCUCAGAAAACUGGGAAUAGUUUUACCUCAGGACCCAGCUAUACCACUCCUAGGCAUAAACCCAAAAGAUACUUCACCCACAAAGACACUUGUUCAACUAUGUUUAUGGAAGCUGAAAUUCUUAACCACUCCAUGGGUUCUCAGACAAGCCAAAGUAUCACAGUGGCUUGUUAAGCUAGGCUAACAUUUCACCUCAGGCCAGACUCCCUGGCCUUUCUGAUGCUCAUGCACACAGAGCAUGCUUGGGCACUGGGUCUUUAGCCUCUCUUCCCUGUUCCUAGACUAUCCCUUCUCGUGAACAGUUCCUACACGUCAUUCAGGCCUCAGCCCCUCGGCCAUGGAAGACUUUCCUGACUAACAACCUAAGAUAAGUAUGUAGCCAAUUUCUUUCACUUCACUUCAACUAUAUCAAAAUAUUAUAAUAUAAUCUUUUUUAUUUAUAUUGUCUGACAGUUUUCCCAUUGUUGCUCACUACUCUUUUUUCCUAUCAUUUAAGCAGGCCUGUUAAAUAGUGAAUGCAUUUUUGUUGCUUAAACAAAUAGGAAGCAAUUACGUAAGUUCAAUAAUUCCUAAGAGUUAUUUGUAUAGAAAUAAUAAGAUUGUUUAAAAUAAAAAGUAGAAAUCAUUUUCACUCUGGUUAUAGAAUUAAAAUCACUUAUCUUCUACCUUGUGCAUCUGAGUUCAUAUUUCCGUCACAAAUUUUAGAAAUCUAUUUUUAACUAUGUGAUGAUAAACUAUAUGAGUCUGAAUAUUUGCUAUCUCACAAACAUUUUCUGGGGUUUUUUUGUUUGUUUGUUUUUGUUUUUGUUUUUUGUUUUUACCAUACCUUGCACAUGUUCUUGUAUUUUUAGUUAGGUUAAACCCAAAGUCAUUCUUUGAUGUUGGGUUUUUCCUCUUUGAUUUGGGUCUUACAUUUUACAGAUAAAGAAAUUGAGUCUGGAAUUCCCAUUGCCUUCUAUGAUGUCAUACCAACACUAAGUACUAAUGCAGGAUUCACAUAGGGUUUUUGGACUUAUUUGGAGCCAAAAUAUCAUAAUUGUUUUUCAGUAUAAUAUCAUUUGAGCUAUAGACACAAACAUAAACAAACUCUUUUGUAUGUCAUCCUAAGCGUUGAAAUGGUACCAAAUCAGUGUUGACUUAACCGGGUGUACAGUUCGAGACUGUAAUUCAGGACCCAUGAACUCUGAUUCAAACUCUUCUAUUAAUUAGCUACAGGGCCCUGGGGAAAUCAGUUUUGUAUUCUGGGUCUGGCUUGCUUUUUUCUGGCUUUAACAGAAUGGGCCCAUAUGGUCAUUACAUGAGAUUCCAUCUAGUUUUUUAAGCCAGUGAAUUUCUAUUAGGAAAGUGUAAUCUUGACGAGACAUCUGUAGAAAGCAGUUGUAGUUUAUCUUCUCUGACUUUGGAGUUGUCAUGUGUCCAGUGCUUUUCCAUAAAACAUAGAGGAAGGUGGCAGUCCCUAUUUAAUCAGGUCAUUAAAUUCAGCAAAAUACUUAAUAAAAUCCUCAGGUAAAGAGUAAAAGUUUUUUAAUGUAAUUUUAUCCACUAUUGAUUUUCCUUAUACUAAUUUUAAGGUCUUUACUAAAUUACAUUAUUUUUUAUCAGUAAUCCAAAUGAGUCUUGACAAUUAUAUAUAUAUAUAUAUAUACAAAUAUGAGUAGAUUUUGCUAAUAAUUAUAAUACCUUAUUUCUUUCUUAUUUGUCUUCAAAAUAAGAUUAAGUAACAGCACCCUGUUUACUGCACCUUGAACUUAAAUAUAAUAAUCCCAGCUUUUUUUUUUUUUUUUGGAAACAAGCGUAUUGUCGGCGUUCUAUACAGCCUUGCAGAAAUCAGCCUCUUAUUAAAUAUUUAUUGGGUUGUUGUGUGUAUGAGACAUAUAACAAAAACUAUUUAUGAAGUAGAUCUCUUAUAUCAGGAUUAUAGCCAGUGAUUCAGGCUGCCUAAACUAAGAGGAGACAAAUUGGACCAGAGAUUAAAAUGUUUGCUCUUGCUAGUUAUAUUUCUGCCUGAAUUUUUUUAAAUACUUCAUGCCAACAAGACAGGUCAAGCAAUAGUGAAAGUUUAAAAUGUACAGAGAUUCAAAUACAGAUUUUUCUAUUUUAAAAGACAAACAAAGCAAACAAAGCCAAACAAUACAAAUGUGUUGUCUGUCUCUGAUAUAUAAAUACAUAAAUAUUUAAAUAUUUCACAAGUUCCUAUAUGAAUACAUAUUUAUAUGUAAAUAGAUAUGCAUAUGUGUAUAUAUACUUUAUAUAUAAAUACAUAAAUAUAUUUUACAACCUUAUAUGUUUCUUAAUUAUAGCAUUGCAUCAAAAAUGGACAUUAAUUCGGUUAUAUAUGAUGUCUUUUUUUUUUUUUUUAAGACUCUUAAGGGUGAACUUUUACUUUUCCCAAAAUCCUGUAUGGACCUACCUCUGUAGACUCAUGAGUCUUCUUAAAAUAGUAACUGUGCUUCCGUCUUUAGAAAAGAAGCAUUUGUUUGUUGCUUUCAAACAUUUGAGAACUCCAUAGCCCUGAUCAUCCUUUUUUUUUCUUUUUUUUUAUUCGAUAUUUUCUUUAUUUACAUUUCAAAUUUCCUAGUUUCCCCUCUGAAAACCCCCUAUCCCCUCCCCCUCCUCCUGCUCACCAACCCACUUCCUGCAGGCCUAAUCAUCCUUACAUGUGCUUAUUUUAGGCCCUAGAUCAGUGUUCCUGAGAUUAUAACACAAAGUCAUUUUACUCAGAAGCUGGUCCUUGCACCAGUUUCCAGGGCAUCCUCUGCUUCUCCUAUGUGUAUGUUCUCUCAAGAUUUAAGAACUGUACCACAACAAAUCCUGACUGUUGGCAAAAACUGUAGACCUCCCCUUGUUCUCAGUAUUACUUUCUUUGCUUUUAGUCACCCAGCAUCUAAAAAUAAAAAAUGGAAAGUUUCAGAAAUAAUUCUUCAUUUUUCUGUUUCAUGCUGUUCCAAAUAUCAGAUGCAGUCUUACUAGCACACUGGUUCCUUCCUGGAAUGUAAAUUAUUUCCUUGUCUACUGUGUCCAUGCGGUGUAGAUCACCCAUUCUUAUAGUUACCAGAUCUAUGGCCCCAAUGGCAUGGGAGCUUGUGUUUAAGUGUAUAUGUGGCCUUUCAAUUGUAGCCUAAUACUGCUUGAAAGAUAGUCUGUGUGCUAUUACCUCCAUUCCCUCAUCACAAAACAUUGUACUGUUUCAUGUCACCAUGAGGAAAUGAGGGGAACGAAGCACAGUGAGAUGUCUUACGAGAAAAAAGGGGCCAUAUUCAACUAACUUCCAUUGUAGUAUGUUGUCACAAUGUUUCACUUGUUAUUGUUAUUUUUAGUGUGCCAUUGAGUAUAUAUUAAACUAUGCAUGAUAGCAGAAAGCAAGGCUCAGUCCUGUGUGUAGUUUUUCACCAUAUUAAAAUAUGUUGCUGCUAAAAAGGAAGACCACUAUUCUUGGGAAAACUACAAAGAUAGUUAAGAUGUUUAUCGAAGUUUUCAUAAGAAACAUUCAGAGAGCAUAAUUGUCAAGGGUUUAGAUAUAAACCUUAAUGUCCUUAUCUCUUUCAGGGUAAACCUUGUCUGUGGUGCGAUUUUUUUCUCUUCAAACUGUGGUUUGUUUUUUAUUUCAUUUUACCCCAGCUGUUCUUUUUCAUUAUAGAUCUGCAUAAGAGUGAUAAUAACCUUGUGACAGAGUCAAUAUUAGGCUGGUCGCGAAAGCUUUCUGCCAAAGAAAUUAGUCCACUACCUUUAAAUUUAGCCUCAAACAAGUUUUUAGAACAAAAUGAGAAAGCAGCCACCUUUUGACCAAAAUAUCACUAGAAUGAUCCCCAAGGUAGUUGCUAAGAUUGUUAACCUCUAAACUACUUGAGCUGGGCCUCUUCAGUUUCCGUAGCUUUCAGCACCACUGUCUUCAUCCUAACUCCUACUAGAAUGACCCACUAACCUCUAUUUACAGUAUGCAGUGUAAUGACGUUCCUAGCACAAGCCAGAGACACAAACAUCUUUCAUGCUCCUUGGAAAACCAUGAUGAUCAGGUCUGUCCUAGCACUAGCCCACCACCUAGAAUCAAUGUCUGUCUUAGGUGUCUGUGGUUAUGGCAAAAUCCACGGCCAGGGCAACUUAGGAAGGGUUUAUUUGGGGCUUAUAGUUCCAGAGGUAUGAGUUCUUUUUCAUCAUGGCUGGGAAGCAUGGAAACAGGCAGGCAUGGUGACUAGAGGACCAGCUGAGAGCCCAUAUU
rnacentral:lncRNA from 1 species